GUGGAGGUGACAGGUAAUGCUGCUUGAGUCCGCAGAAGAGGGGGAAGGAAAGUCUGAUGGCCUGGCAGCCCAGCAGCUGGGAGACAAUAUCGGUUUUCAUCAUCCAGCAACUACCACCCACCCCACUGGGAAGGAGAGAGGUGGAGGGUUGUGCGCUGCAGCAAGGGCCUGGAGCUCAGACAGGGCUCCCCGUCUGGAUGAAGUAAUCUUUCUUUGCUCCAAGUAGCUUCUGGGAUUUGGAAUCAGUUGGACUGAGUUCAAAUACCACUGCACUAUUUACAGACUGUGUGACCCUGGGAAAAUGGCCUAACAUCUCUGAGUCUCUGGUUCCUUAUCAAAUGAGAAUAUCACAUGUUCUUCACAGUUAAGAAUCAGAAGUUCUUACAUAACAGUUAUAGAGCAGGACUGUGCGAGAGUCUGAAAGAAGCCCCAGCAUGAAUUCAUGAUAAGGCUAAUGUCUUGAGACAGACAUGGGGUUGAAUUUUGCCUUACCGUAACUGGCUGGGUGAAUGUGGGCAAGUUGUGGUGAAGCCAACCAUGAGUAAAGGCCUCAGCGUCUAGCUUGGAGCCAGCAGGCUCAUCCAAUGUAGACAAAGGCUGGCUGGCUCCUGGCCAGCUCAAGGUGUUUCCCUUUGCCUGGAAACCGGGAGGUGUGGCUGAGGCAGGCCAUGGAGGGGAGUUCAACUAAAAAGUGGUGGAGGGGAAUCCUGCUCUGGACCUCUCCGGCUCCCCCAAAUGUUGGGGACCAGUUUCUCGGGGCUGAAGGAGACAAGCGAGCGGGGAGCUACCUGGGAGGAGCAUUUCAGGGCUGAGGGCUUGAAAAAGCCUUGGGUCCUCAUUGCCUGCUGGGAGCCUGGGGUUCGGGCCCAGCCUUGGGACAACAGUUAUUCUGGAUGCUAUGUGGAAAAGAGACUGCAGAGGGGCCAUUGUGGAAAUAGUGAGACCAGCUAGGAGGCUUUUAAAGUAAUAUAGGCAAAAGAAGAUGAUACCUUCGGCUUAUUUGGAAGUAGUCAGGGUGAUGAGAAAAUAAAUGGCCUUGAAUGUGGAUCUUUGUUCACAUGUACAAGUGUUACAUUGUAGAAUCUAAAGUCUAAGAACUAGAAAUGGAAUCAUUGAACAAUAACACCCUAGUAGCAACAAGCACAGCCAGCCAGCACCCAGAUCUCUGGUUCUAAGUCCAUUCUCCAUUAAGAGAAACCAGGCCUCUUGGAAAAAUGGCUGAUUCCAGGGCUGCAGCAGGGAAGACACAAGAUAAGCCUGGAACAACGUGUACCAGAAAAUAAAGGACAGCUCAAAAAUGUCAAAAGAAUAAAGGAGCCAGCUUGAAGGGACUUCCACUGAUCAAAUCAAGGACAAUUUAAGCAUCAAAACAAAUGAUCACAGUAGCAGAUUAUAACCUACUGAAUAGAAUAAGGAUCCGUAAGUGCAUACUCACAUUAACUAAAGAAAUAAAUAUGAAAGGAAAGCUCUUCCUAACAGUAAAAGGAAUAAUGAAAUUGGAAAGAUGACCAUUCUCGACCAUCAUUGUAAUAACUGAUUCAGAACAGCAGGAGGACCGCUGAUACCAGAGGAACUUGCUGACAGCCUCCUGCCUGCCUAAGCCUCUUGCCCGAGCAUUGAGAAGCUAAAAUGACUGAUUGUAAACUUUAAACUUCAAAGACCAAAACUCCACUGUGUGCAACACAUAGAACAGAUAGUCAUGCCUGUGCAGAAGACUCAGAACUUCAGCGCCAAGGCCACGUGCUCCCCCUCCCCUACCUGAAACCCCAAAUAAAAACCCUUGUCUGUAACUUUUCGGGGAGUUCAGGAUUACAGCAUUAGCUGCCUGUUCUCCCUGCUCAGCACUUUGCAGUAAAAUUCCCACUUUCUUCCACUACACCCUGUGUCAGAGAUUGGCUUGCUGCGCAAUGGGUGAGUAAACUCACUUUAAGUUCGAUAUCAAAUUUGGCGACCCAGAUGGGACUGUGUUCAAUGUGGACGUCUCACCUCUGGCACACCAGCCUCUGGCUAAAGGCCUCUCUUGGAGGCUGUCCUGCAGCUGCCUGAGCCCCUUGUCUCAGGGACAACCCCAAGCAACUGGCUGCUGACCAGACAUCGUUGGCCCACGGCACUUUUGCUUUUGGUGGUGGAAGAAGCAAGGUUGGGGAUUUGGGAAGAUAUCUCUUGUAAGUAGCUGGCAGUUUUUGUUUUUGUCUUUGUGCCAACCUUUUCCAACAGGACCAGCCAGAAAUAAUGGGUACCUGGCAGCCCUCUGGGUUCCAUUUGCUUUGGUUUGCAAUGGACAUCCUUUUGUUGAGUUUCCUUGUUAACUGACUGGAAUCUUAUUUUUCCUUUCAUUUGUUUGCCCGUUUCAGGGGUUUUGUUCAAGGUUACUGGAGUUUGUUCAUGGAGGACCCCAAUUUUUUGAAAAGACUAGAGAUUUUUCACUCACAGAGGAACUCUUGGCCCCGUUUGUCUUGAUAUGUGUGCGUGUGAAUGGUGCCACAAUGGGAACUCAGAUUCAGUUCCCCGUGGCAGCCGUCUAGGGUGUAUAUUGCAAAAUUGAAAUGUUUUCAAUUAUGAACCUAUGAAGAGGAAAAAAAAGCCAGAAGGCAGAAAUUACAAUGAGAAAUCUGACCAACCGUCAUUUGGGGCAACAGUUAAGCCACUAAGGUUGAUAAAAUUAUAAAGAUUAAAAUGUUUGAGCUAAUAUUUUAUAAAGAGGUUAUGUCAACUUUGCCUGAGUGUUUUUUGGGAAUGGAUGUUAUCUCUAGCUGGGAAUGCUUCCCCUUGUUAAUGGAAUCUUAAUGGAAGCUAUGAUUAGAGGUAUAAGAGUUGAUAAAAUAAAGAUAAAACCUUGUAAAAAAAAUUGGUAUAUUUAAGUGGGCUUUUUGUGAAAUGAUUGUAUCUCUUUUGCCUGUUUGAUAGAUUAUGUUGUGGGGAUAAACAUUGUGUCUCACUGGUGAAAGUUUCCCCUGCCUGAUAUUGUAAGAGCAUAUACAUCCAUCCUUCAGGCAAUGUUGGUUAAACAUGCUAAAGGAGAUUUCACUUUAAAAUGGCCAUUCUGGGGAACCUUGUUUCAGAUGAAUCCACUUUGAGGGUCACCGUUAAGAGAGAGAGAAUUCAAAACCUAAAUGUGUUCUUUGAUUAAUAUGAAGAAGCUUCUAAAAGACAAAAUGACUUUUAAAACAUCUCUUAAAAGGAUCCUAACAGCAAAAAGAAAAGAAUCUUUUGUAAAGAUCUUUGGCCAUCUGAACAGGUUCAUCUGCCAGAGGCACAGUUUGGAUCCAACUGUUCUUUUGAGUUUUGUACCAGAGACAUGGUUAAAAUUUUGAAGAUCUCUGUUUGUGUUUAUCUGUAUGUUUAUAUGUGUAAGUCUCUCUAUGUAUUUGUCUUUCUUGGAUGGUAUAAUUUCUGUCUUUUUUUUUUUUUUU